CCAAUAGCGUAUAUUAAAGUUGUUGUGGUUAAAAAGCUCGUAGUUGAACCUUGGGCCUGGCUGGCCGGUCCGCCUCACCGCGUGUACUGGUCCGGCCGGGCCUUUCCCUCUGUGGAACCCCAUGCCCUUCACUGGGUGUGGCGGGGAAACAGGACUUUUACUUUGAAAAAAUUAGAGUGCUCCAGGCAGGCCUAUGCUCGAAUACAUUAGCAUGGAAUAAUAGAAUAGGACGUGUGGUUCUAUUUUGUUGGUUUCUAGGACCGCCGUAAUGAUUAAUAGGGACAGUCGGGGGCAUCAGUAUUCAAUUGUCAGAGGUGAAAUUCUUGGAUUUAUUGAAGACUAACUACUGCGAAAGCAUUUGCCAAGGAUGUUUUCAUUAAUCAGGAACGAAAGUUAGGGGAUCGAAGACGAUCAGAUACCGUCGUAGUCUUAACCAUAAACUAUGCCGACUAGGGAUCGGACGAUGUUAUUAUUUGACUCGUUCGGCACCUUACG
rnacentral:rRNA from 1 species